ACUCCAUUGACUCCAAUGGAACGCUUUUUUUACAGCAAUGGCGGCUCGUGGAGCCUUUCAAUAGUUCCCGGAAGUAGCAGCAAACCUAUGCCGCGCCGUAGAGAUGCAGCAGAACAAACCGUUUGCGACGCACUUUUAAUAGACCCAGGUAACUGGCUGAUGGUUCAAUGGAAUGCUGACUGGAUGCUGACUGACUUGCUGCUGGUUGACUGGGCAGUGUCACCUGUCCCUGUCUCUCCUCUCUAGCCAUGUCCUUUUUCUUCACUCUCACUUUCCCUUCUCUGAGUGUCCUCGUUCUUUUUUCCUCAACCUUUGAAACUGAUAGAGGUCUAGGGGUGCAUCGUGGAGCAGGGCCCUCCUCUUUUUGACCACAGGACGGUGUACAAAGAUUGUGGGAAUAGCAUCUGGUCUCAGCCUACUCUUGAAUUUUUUGGUCAUGACAAAUUGCUUUGCCGCAAUUUCUCUGCAUACUGACUUCAGUUUAAUUUCCACACACACCUUUUUUUUUGUCUACGCACAUACAGUACAUAUCACAUGGUGGUUAAAUGCACAGUUAUAGGUAACACUGAUGACUCCCUGCAAUGUCUCACCAUGAGUCUCAGCUCCCUGGGUUUUACAAGGCUUUGAUUGUUCCUUAUUUCUAGUAAAACAUUGUCAAUGUAAAAAAGUGCAAAUAAAUGUAAGUAUAAUUACCUAACAA